AGUGUAGCUUUUUUUUUUCUUCUUUUUUUCUUUUUCUUUCUUUCUAUCUUUCUUUCUUUCUUUCUUUCUCUUAUAUUCGUCGAUUUAAUUCGUUCGCGUAUAUUUUGUCCGCGAUAUAUCUCGUCUUUAUCAAAUUAAUCGAAAAAUAAUAUAAUGAUUAGAGAAAGAAAAUGGGAGAUAAUGUGUGCGUGUUUUGGAAUUUUAUUGACUGGUGUUAAUUGUCAACGGUGAUGAGAGACAAAUUAAAAAAACAGAAUAUGCCGGAAAAACGUUUUGUCGUUUAUGCGGCUUCUCGCGUUUCGUUUCGUUUCGUUUUCGUUAUUGACACGUAAUCGUCGUUGUCGUGAGUGUAACGGGAAAAUGCGAAACUUUGAGAAACUCGUACGCUCGUGGGAAAAGAUCCUCGAGGAAGAAGAAGAAGAAGAAGAAGAAGAGGAAGAAGAAGAAGAAGAAGAAGAGGAAGAAGAAGAAGAAGAAGAAGAAGAGGAAGAAGAAGAAGAAGAAGAAGAAAAAAAGUCUUCGAUAAAAAGUGACGAGAUUCAUGAAAACCUUAUUCGCAUGUCGACGAGACAGCCGCAUGCGACGUUUUUACGAUGAUCUAGUUUAAUUUAUGCGCCAACGUUUCGACGUGAGUGCGAUACUCGUGUUUGAAAAAAAAAAUGUUUUCAUCUAUCGAGGACUAAACACAUCGUUGCGUGAAAGAUAUUUCGUCGGAUGCUGUAUAUCCUUCUUUUGAUUUUGAUCUCCUUGGAACAAUGCUCUCUUGUGUCGAACAGCAAAAAUAACAACAGCUACAACAGUAACAACAACAACAACAACAACAACUACCAACAUCAAGGCGAUAUGUGUUGUAGUGAUGACGCACGAUGACUCUGAUAAAAGUGAAUAAUAUCGAAGCUAGUGAAAAAUUAACUUUAUUUGAUAGACUCGGUGGUGCUUUUGUGCACAGGACGUACCAUGAAGAAUUAAUCUACGUUAGUGUGAUCAAAAUGAGGAGAGAUUUGUGCGAGAGAAACGAAAAAACACGUAGAAAGAUAAGAAAAAUAGAUAGAACUCUGUCACCGAAAGAAACGUUAUUGCGAUCGAGCGUGCGUUAAAAGGUCAAAAAGAUCGAUCAAAUUUA